GAUUCUGUCAGAUAACUUCACUCUUGUCCAUGAUGGACAUCUACUCGAAGAUGAAAGUACUCUGGCCUCCCUCAAUAUACGGAGCAAUUCAAAUAUUCAUUUGGUUUUUUGUCAGAAAGAAGUGCCAUCUAUUUUUGUGAAAGCACCUAAUAAAGAUACCGUGCAACUCAGAGUUAAAGUUAUGUUUACUGUUGAUGAUAUCAAAGCGAUUUGUGGUAGCAUCAUUGGUGUUUCAGUCAGUGGGUGUAAUAUGUUUUGUGCUGCAAAACGGCUUGAGGGUUCCAAAACCCUGGCCUUUUAUGAUAUCAAAGAAGGAUCUCUGUUGGAGCUAUUACCUUCUUCAAUGCAGAUAUUUGUUAAGACUUGGAUUGGAAAAACCCUAGUCCUUGAUGUGAAGGAACAUGAUACUGUGAAGCAUAUCAAGCAACAGAUUUUUCAGAAGUUGAAGAUCCCCAUUGACAUUCAGAGUAUUGUUUAUGUUGGAAGACGGCUUGAGAAUGACCGGGAUCUGGCAAGUUAUGGCAUCCAGAGGCACUCUACUCUGCAUAUGGGAUAUGUUGUAAAAUCAGUUUAGAUUUUAAAAGAUUUUGUGAUUAUUGAAGAUUUUAUAUUAGUCGAAGAUUUUUUUGGGUUUGAUAUUUAAAUCUAAUAUUAAAUCUGACUGUUAUGAUUUUAUUAUAUUAUCUCAAAAUUUUUAUAAUCGCUUAUAAUGGUCAUUUUUUUCAUUAUAGAUAGUCUAUAUUUUUACAAAAAAAGAUAAUUUUAUUUUUUUAUUUUAUUUUUUUUCUUCUUUAUAUUUUCUGCUGGUUUAUAAAUUAGAGAUUAAAAAUUAAAUUCUGAAAAACCUGUUAAUUCUAAAAAAUUAUAAAAUAAAUGACUUAAAUUUUAUUAUUUUAUUCUAUUUUCUCAAUAUUUGCUCCAAUAUUAACCUUGGCUUUUAGUUACCAUCCACUACUGAUAUUCCGAGUUUAAAGUCUACGAUCCAAAAUAAAUUCCAAAAUAAAUUCUCUACCCUGGUGAAGGAAAUAUUGUUCAAGGGAAAAGCCUUGCAUGAUGACAACACAUUGGCUUAUUACAAAAUAAAGAAGGAUUCAAAGUUGGCUGUGAUCUUGUGAGCAAUGUAAAUCUGGUGAGCAUUAGAAUUCACAGUCACUUACUGAACUUGUGUGAUGAGACUGUCUUGGGGGGAGGAUAAAUUAAUGAUUUGAAGCAUUAUUAAUUCCAAGUCCUUUGACUCUGUGUUGCUUAAUUUGUGCUAUACUUCAUUUACAGCUGUUAGAAAUGCAGAAAUGCCAUUCUCCUGAUGUAGGCUAGGCACAACUUUCUGGCAUCGAGUUUUUCGUUCCUUGCAUCCUGUGCAAAUCAUGGUUUAAUAGUUAAAUUAAGUGUAUUCUUCUUAUACUAGAAUUAAAGGGUUUCUGCUGUGCAUUGUUGUUAUUGAAAUACACAAAUCCUACAAUAUCCUCUUUUAAGUUGCAGUUCUGCAUCCUGCAGGUCACACAUAUUUAAUUUGGGGGCGGGGGGGAAAGAAAAUCUCUUCUUUUAAGUUGCAGUUCUGCACUCUGCAGGUCACACAUAUUUAAUGGGGGGAAGAAAAGAAAGUAAACGACAGCCAAUUGAGCGGUAUAUCAGAUUUCUACUGAUAGGGAGACCUAAACAUUACAGCAUCUAAAUUCUGCUUAGAUCAGAAUGAAAUGGCUAAUGUGAGAGCCAAGCUCACAUGCUCCAUCCUAAGAAAUCCUUCGCCACCGCCUCUCGCAUUUGUAGCAUCUGUGAUAUGGGAAAAUUUCAGUUCUCUGCACUGCCUUCAAAACUCUGGCCUGUUGUGUUUGUGUUGCUUUCUUGGCUUAUAGCAAACAUUAAUAUAUAACCAGUGAGUUCUUUGGCUAAGCAAGCUAGAGCUACCCGACAAGAAAAAAGUGUGAUAGUAAUUAAAGAAGAAACUGAAUUAUAACAAUAUCUUCAUAGCAGAGCACUAUGUUCAAUCACUGAAACUGUGCGUUUUUGCAAUUUCACUCUCCUCGUAGAUGUUAUUGUGAUUGUGAAUAUGAAUGGAUCCGAGUCAUCUAUCUUACUGCAGGUAACAAAAUUGCCAUGUGAAAAUUGAACAUUUCAAAGCCAUGAUGGGGAAUCACCAUCAUAUCCAGCCAAGAACUGAAAAUUUAAAUAUAAAUAAAAAUUCUUUGAAGACUAAUUAAUCAUUAUUCAUCAUGCAUUUUAAUUAAUAAAAUGCAAAGUGUUAAAUACUGGCUACACUAAUUUUUUUUUCUUGGUUAAUUUUUACUCACUGUUACUGAAAUUUAUUUUAUUAUAUUUAUAAAAAUACUCAAUUUACUAUUUUAAUUUUAAAUAAUUCUCAUCAAAAUUCGAUCGUAUUUAUGAUGAUUGUCUACGAAAAAUUUAAUUUCAUCGCAUACCUUUGGCCACGUGGCUCUUUCAUGCGUCCCCCUCCUCCCUUGAGACAGUGAUAGUUUACGUUAGAGAUUUUUGCUUUUAUAGAAAGAAAGAUGAAAAGAAUUAACCACGCGGUGGAAUGUUAUUGGAUCGUCAAGCUAGUUGGAAAGGCCGGCGCACUAUAUAAAAUCUCACUCUCUUAGAGUAACCUUCCUUGCUAAGGUAUGCAGAUUGACUGAUCAAGGAAGUCUUGGUUUCGUGCGCCAAUUUAGCCAUGGACGCUUCCUCUUCUCUAACUCCAUCGACCCAAUCCGAUUCAACCCAACAAGAUGAACAGGUUUUUUUUAUCCUUCAUCUCUCUUUUGGGUCCUAUAGAUACUGUCUCUGCAUGCAUUUUUUUCCAACUUUGAUUUCUACCAAGGGUUUUCUUCUACGUCGUGAGACUCGCUCAGUUUUUACGGGGAUGUUUGGUUACCGAGAAAACAGAUGAAAUGAAAAGAAAUAGAGAAUAAAACUUGGUGCCGCGUGAGUUUUAAGUAGUUUUGAUUCUAAAUAACAUGCCUCAGCACUUGGUAUCAGGUUUAAAUCCUUAACUCUAGCCCCUUGUUCACCAAUUUGAUUCUGAGUCAAGACCAUAAAUUUGCAAGCAUUUAAACCGUCCAUUAAAAGAGAGCAAAACGAUACUAAAAUCUGAAUUUUCUUUUUAAAAAAUCCUGAAUUUCAAGGUUUCUUUCUUACUGCCUCCCUUUAUAGGACAUAAACGUACACCCUGGAAAUGCUUUUCUAUUUUGAUUUCUUUCCAUAUGAACUAUUAAACUACUUCUAGCGAAUUGGUUUCUGUAGCACGAUCUUCCUUAGACAGUUGAAAAGUUUGAUUGUUUUUUGAAGUUUUCUUAAGCUUAUAUCGUGUAGGAACCUCAAUUCUAAUGUGAAUUGUAAAGUGUAACCGCAUAAUUUUUUUUAUAUAUUCUUUUUUGGAGGUCUACUUAAAAACCUAGAAUUGAUGCUUAGAAGUUUUUAGUUUUGGGUUGUCUUCUGCCAAUAGAACCACAUUAAUAUCAUAAUGCUUGUUUGUGUCUGUAUUGGCCAGAAAAAUGCUUACCAUUAGAUUUAUCAUACUUUUUCUUUUAUGCUCUGUUCUAUUCUAUUGGAUAGUACGUAUAGUAGGAAUAAUGAAUUUCAAAUUUUAUCUAUGAACUAUAUUGAUCUUCUCAAAUUUUCUGAGCUGCUUGUUUUCCUGCUCAACCCAAAUCCUAUGUGUUAUUUUCCCUGUUAAAGGGGCUUUAGUAGAAUAUUCUCGUAUUUCAUACCGCUAAUCUUUUGUAGCUUUUUCUUCUUUGCUUGCGUGAUGAAAACCUGGAUUUUGAAUUCAUCCAACUCGAUGGUUCUGUAAGAUAUUGCACUUGUUUUAUUGUUGCAGAUGGAUCUUUACUUGAAGAUUGUAAAAACAGUAUGUUUAAAUUUAAAGGGGUCUGAGACAAUUAAAACUUUAAAAGAGCUGAUUGAGGAGAAGGAAGGCAUUGGUGAAAAGAAUCAGGAUCUAUUCUUUGAUGGCAAUCUGCUCAGAGAUGGUCAAAGGCUAGUUGAUUGUGGUGUUCGGAAGAACUGCACUGUUCAUCUUAUUGUCCAAAAUCCUGUUACAAUCAAAUUAUUGGUCAAAAUACCAUCUGAUCCGAGAAUUAUCAUGGUGGAAGCAAAAACUUGUGAUACUAUCCACAAUGUCAAAUUGAUGAUUCAGUCAAAGGAGGGGAUUCUGUCAGAUAACUUCACUCUUGUCCAUGAUGGACAUCUACUCGAAGAUGAAAGUACUCUGGCCUCCCUCAAUAUACGGAGCAAUUCAAAUAUUCAUUUGGUCUUUUGUCAGAAAGAAGUGCUAUCUAUUUUUGUGAAAGCACCUAAUAAAGAUACCGUGCAACUCAGAGUUAAAGUUAUGUUUACUGUUGAUGAUAUCAAAGCGAUUUGUGGUAGCAUCAUUGGUGUUUCAGUCAGUGGGUGUAAUAUGUUUUGUGCCGCAAAACAGCUUGAGGGUUCCAAAACCCUGG
rnacentral:lncRNA from 1 species